rnacentral:sRNA from 1 species
UGCAACGGAUAAUCCGUUGCAAUAUCAGUUUAAUUUGCAACGGAAUUUCCGUUGCAUAUUUAAAUUGCAACGGAUUUUCCGUUGCAAAUUGUUUGAGAUUGCAACGGAAAAUCCGUUGCAAAUGAAA